rnacentral:sRNA from 1 species
GAAAUAUCACACACGUAUCAGCACCGUACACCGGGGUGCUCUGGCCUUCGGGUCUGGAGUCGGUUGUAUGGGAUACGUGGAGGCUUAAC